rnacentral:rRNA from 1 species
CCUACGGGAGGCUGCAGUGGGGAAUAUUGGACAAUGGGGGCAACCCUGAUCCAGCCAUGCCGCGUGUGUGAAGAAGGCCCUCGGGUUGUAAAGCACUUUCAGUGAGGAAGAACGCCUGGUGGUUAAUACCCAUCAGGAAAGACAUCACUCUCAGAAGAAGCACCGGCUAACUCCGUGCCAGCAGCCGCGGUAAUACGGAGGGUGCGAGCGUUAAUCGGAAUUACUGGGCGUAAAGCGCGCGUAGGUGGCUUGAUAAGCCGGUUGUGAAAGCCCCGGGCUCAACCUGGGAACGGCAUCCGGAACUGUCAAGCUAGAGUGCAGGAGAGGAAGGUAGAAUUCCCGGUGUAGCGGUGAAAUGCGUAGAGAUCGGGAGGAAUACCAGUGGCGAAGGCGGCCUUCUGGACUGACACUGACACUGAGGUGCGAAAGCGUGGGUAGCAAACAGGAUUAGAUACCCCGGUAGUC